rnacentral:rRNA from 1 species
GAUGAACGCUAGCGGCAGGCUUAAUACAUGCAAGUCGAGGGGCAGCACGGGUAGCAAUACCUGGUGGCGACCGGCAAACGGGUGCGGAACACGUACGCAACUUUCCUCUGAGCGGGGAAUAGCCCGGGGAAACCGGAUUAAUACCCCAUAAAUAUAAUCGGUAAGCAUUUGCUGAUUAUUAAAGAUUUAUCACUCAGAGAUGGGCGUGCGCCUGAUUAGGUAGUUGGCGGGGUAACGGCUACCAAGUCUAGCGAUCAGUAACUGGUGUGAGAGCACGGACCAGU